rnacentral:rRNA from 1 species
UACGUAGGUGGCAAGCGUUGUCCGGAUUUAUUGGGCGUAAAGAGCGCGCAGGCGGUUCGUUUAGUGCGAGGUGAAAUCUCCCGGCUCAACUGGGAGGGGUCUUCGCAUACUGGCGAGCUUGAGGAGAGCAGAGGUGAGCGGAAUGAUCGGUGUAGUGGUGAAAUGCGUAGAUAUCGAUCGGAACACCGGUGGCGAAGGCGGCUCACUGGGCUCCACCUGACGCUGAGGCGCGAAAGCGUGGGGAGCGAACCGG